rnacentral:misc_RNA from 1 species
UCCGGUUUGUCACCGGCAGUCAUCUUUGAGUGCCCACCAUCAUGUGCUGGCAACGAAGAUCAAGGGUUGCGCUCGUUGCGGGACUUAACCCAACAUCUCACGACACGAGCUGACGACAACCAUGCACCACCUGUCUCCUCUGUCCCGAAGGCCCAUGGUAUCUCUACCAUGUUCAGAGGGAUGUCAAGGCCUGGUAAGGUUCUUCGCGUUGCUUCGAAUUAAACCACAUACUCCACUGCUUGUGCGGGUCCCCGUCAAUUCCUUUGAGUUUCAGUCUUGCGACCGUACUCCCCAGGCGGAAUGCUUAAUGUGUUAACUUCGGCACCAAGGGUAUUGAAACCCCUAACACCUAGCAUUCAUCGUUUACGGCGUGGACUAC